GUUUCAACAAAGAAUUCAUUUAGGGGAUUGUUUUUUCACUUACUUUUUUAAUGUUGUAAUUUCACAUCGAAGGUGGGAAACGUUCUGACAUGAUUUUCCUUGGUUUCUUUUUUUACAUCGUAAAAACCUGCAAUUUUAACACGGGCGUGUAGACUUUUUAUAUCCGUUGUAUGGGAAACGUUUUGUUGGUCCUGCUUUCAUGUGAUUUGCAACCAGUGCAAUAGCAUGCUAGCAACCAGCUGAUAUUCCUUAGAGUGACGCUAAAUGGUUGCUAUACUAUUGCAGGUGGUUGCUAGGUGGUUGCUAUGCAAAUGUUUUCUGUUGGAACAUCAACCUUGCUGCAGGUUUCUUGCCGGUGCAGAUUCUUGUGGAUUUAUUUACAAAAAUUUUUUUAUAGCUAACGCUUGAACUCUGAUCGACAACUGAAGCUUCUUCCAUUCUUACGCUUGCUUGAUGAAACUGAGGAUUUCUGCUGGAGUUCUCAUGCAAAUCUUUUCCCAUAUGAUGCUAUGAAUACUAAACCGAAAGUCUCAAAAGGUAAUUCCUUGCAGAAGUGUGAAAACAAAAGGGUUGUAGGUCAGAGUAUAUGGAUUGUUAGUUGCUGUCCUGUUGAGGUGUGGUGUGAGAUGUGUAGGUCUUUGCAGUCAAAACAGCAUUUGCAUUUGCACUGAAACGUACCUGUCUCUUCUGACAAGCAGGAAAACCAGAGGCUGUGGUUUUUUAUUUCCUUUAAGAAUUUUACCUGUAUGAUACCUGCGUCGGUCUGAGUAGUUUUUGUUCGCUCUGUCUGUCUAACAAAAAUGAAACUAGAAACAACUAGAAAGUUGUGAACAAAAUUUCAUGUUGGCUUGACAGAGACCAUUAAACAAUGUAGGAGGUGGUUGCUAGGCAGUAGCUAUGGUAUUCCAGGUGAUUGACAGGGUGUUGCUCGGUGGUUGUUAUGGCAUGCCAGUUGGUUUCUAGACUGUUGUUAGGUGGUUUCUAUUCUACGCGUGAAGUUUGCUUAGGUGUUGCUAGGUGGUUGCGUUAUCAUCACAGCUGGUUGCUAGGUAUUGCUACCACCUGGAAUAUCAUAGCAAGCACCUAGCAACACCCCAGCAGCCAGCUGGAUUAACAGAGCAACCACCUAGCAACUGCCCAGCAACAUCCUAGUAACCACCUUCCAUAUUGUUCAGUGGUCUCUGUCAAGCCAGCAUCAAAAUUCAUUCAUAACCUUUAUCCUGCUAGUUUAAUUUCUGUUAUUGAUAUGAAAAUAGAACGACCAAAAAGUACACAGACCUACACACGGGUAUUACACAGGUAAAACGAGACGUUCAAAUGCUUAAAGGAAAUGCAAAACACAGCUGGUGGGCUUCCUGCUUGUCAGAAAAGGCGUGUACUCUUCAAUGCAAAUGUAAAUGUUGGUAUUUAAAACACACACGCAUACACAUCUCUAGCCAUACCUCGACAGGACAGCGGCACCUCACAAUUCAUAUAAUCUUACCUACAAACCUUUUGUGUUUGUACAUCUGCACAGAAUGACCUUCAGAUGACCUUUAGAUUAGUUUUUAAGACUUCGGGUUGAGUAUUCAUAGCUUCAUAUGGGAAAAGAACUUCCGAGUAGAAAUCUUCAGUUUCUGCGAGGAAGCCUGAGAAUGGAAGACGCUCCAGGUGUUCGUCGGAGUUCUAGGAUCCGCUCAAAUAAGUUCAGUAGAAUCUGCUGGGGCAAGAAACUGGCAGACAGGAUGAUUUUCGUGCGCUGCUUCCAGUUCAGUGUGUGGACGACCAAGCUGGAUUAAAUGGCGUGGUUAUUUAUGAGGACGACAUUUUCCCCAUCUCAAAUCCCAGAUCUCAAAUCCCACUUCCAGUUCGGUGUGUGGACGACCCGAUGCCUGAAAACGCCGUGGAGGUUUACGGAAACGAGGAAUUCCCGAUGAGAAAUCAGCUACCGCUUCCAGUUCCGUGUGUUGACGACCCGCUGGGUUUAAAUGCUGUCGUAGCUACCGAAGAUCAGACUUUCUCCAUGCCAAAUCAGCCACCUGAGAGUGUCCUCAUUGUCUUACCCAUUGUGAAUACACAUGUUUAUAUAGUUAGUGCGAUCAUAUUAGUUGUAAUAUACUUAUCAUGAACGAUUUUUGUUUUGUUUUAUGAUUUCAGGUUGUUGGAAAUGGAGAAGAAUCCGAAUAAAUACAAUAAAUGGCUGUAAUAAGACUGUGUGUAAUGUGUUGUUUGUGGUAAGCUAAGCCAUUAGCUAAUUAGCGACUCUGACUAUCUACCCACAUCUUUCUCCAACUCUUUACAGAAUUCAAGCUCCGUUUUAGACUUCGUGUCACUUUGGUGUUGUAAGAGCUGCUACAGCCUAUAGGAAAAUGUGUAAGGAGCAUUUUCAUAAUGGAGGUGGUGUUCACUUUAGAAUAGCUCACUUUGUUCGUUGAGAUCCAGGGCUCCAGAUGGCCACUAAGAUGGUCGCCAAUGCGACUAACUUUUUAAUUUUGCGGCCAUGUUUUUUCUGCCAGUCGCCAGUGGCCACCGUUACC